UGCAGGCUCAGCACGCCUCUUAGAGGCUCCAGGCACCUUCCUGUUUUCUUCUGCCACUUGGGAGCCUCACCUUAGCAAACAAAACGCUUUACUGCUGCAGACGGAUUCCUUUGCGGAGACCCCGCGUCUGAGUCCGGGAGCAUGCGCGGGACUGGUUUUGGGCCCCCCUGAAACUUGCUGCAGAGACUAGGGACAUGGAGGAGGAGGGAAAAGGAGCAUUGAAAAGCAGAGAAAGGAAAGGCGCUGGAUUGGAUUGGUGAGGGGACUGAAGGGCAGGAAGGCGUGUCAACAAUAAAUCCCAACAAGUCCCAAA